UACGGAGGGUGCAAGCGUUACUCGGAAUUACUGGGCGUAAAGAGCGUGUAGGCGGGUUAAUAAGUUGGAAGUGAAAUCCUAUGGCUUAACCAUAGAACUGCUUCCAAAACUGUUAGCCUAGAGUGUGGGAGAGGUAGAUGGAAUUUCUGGUGUAGGGGUAAAAUCCGUAGAUAUCAGAAGGAAUACCGAUUGCGAAGGCGAUCUACUGGAACAUAACUGACGCUGAGACGCGAAAGCGUGGGGAGCAAACAGG
rnacentral:rRNA from 1 species